UACGUAGGGGGCGAGCGUUACCCGGAUUUACUGGGCGUAAAGCGCGUGUAGGCGGCUGGCCAAGCGUGGUGUGAAAUCUUCGGGCUUAACCCGAAAACUGCAUUGCGAACUGGUCUGGCUAGAGUGUGUGAGAGGGUAGUGGAAUUCCCGGUGUAGCGGUGAAAUGCGUAGAUAUCAGGAGGAACACCAAUGGCGAAGGCAGCACUCUGGGACGUGACUGACGCUGAGACGCGAAAGCGUGGGGAGCAAACAGG
rnacentral:rRNA from 1 species